rnacentral:rRNA from 11 species
CGGAUUAAUUCGAUGCAACGCGAAGAACCUUACCAAGGCUUGACAUAUAGAGGAAAAGUGUAGAAAUACACUCCCCGCAAGGUCUCUAUACAGGUGGUGCAUGGUUGUCGUCAGCUCGUGUCGUGAGAUGUUGGGUUAAGUCCCGCAACGAGCGCAACCCCUAUCCCUAGUUGCUAGCAGUUCGGCUGAGAACUCUAGGGAGACUGCCGGUGACAAACCGGAGGAAGGUGGGGAUGACGUCAGGUCAUCAUGGCCCUUACGGCCAGGGCUACACACGUGCUACAAUGGUGCGCACAGAGGGCUGCAAACCCGCGAGGGGGAGCUAAUCUCACAAAACGCAUCGUAGUCCGGAUCGGAGUCUGCAACUCGACUCCGUGAAGUCGGAAUCGCUAGUAAUCGUGAAUCAGAAUGUCACGGUGAAUACGUUCCCGGGCCUUGUACACACCGCCCGUCGCACCAUGGGAGUUGGUUUUACCCGAAGGUGGUGCGCUAACCGUAAGGAGGCAGCCAACCACGGUAAGGUCAGCGACUGGGGUGAAGUCGGAACAAGGUAGCCGUAGGGGAACCUGCGGCUGGAUCAC